rnacentral:rRNA from 1 species
UAGGGAAUCCUCCACAAUGGACGCAAGUCUGAUGGAGCAACGCCGCGUGAGUGAAGAAGGUCUUCGGAUCGUAAAACUCUGUUGUUAGAGAAGAACACGAGUGAGAGUAACUGUUCAUUCGAUGACGGUAUCUAACCAGCAAGUCACGGCUAACUACGUGCCAA